rnacentral:lncRNA from 1 species
UGCCUGGUGUUACAUAUGAGGUGCUGUUUUCUGCUGGAGGCUUUGUGUGUGGUAGGUAGGCAAGCAUUUCCACCACUGAGCUACAUUCUCUACCCAAGGUUCUUAGUUGCCCUUGCUGACCAGAGCCCCAAGUCAUCCUCCUCUAUUUGGGAUGCUCCAAUUCCAUCAGACACACAGUGGGCUCCAGAACCAAGGCACACAAAAGAAAGCACUCUGGGCCUCUGUUAUUUCCUCCUGUUUCAUCUUCCCGUCCGCUACAGUAUAUGUUCCUUACCAGCUCGAACUAUCCACUACUCAAAUACAUAUGCAAACAUAUUCAAUGGAAUCGCCAUGCCAACAUCAUCUGUCCC